CGCCGCCCCCGCCCGCCUACGGGACGCAUCAGUGGGGAAUUUUCCGCAAUGGGCGAAAGCCUGACGGAGCAAGACCGCGUGGGGGAAGAAGGCUCUUGGGUUGUAAACCCCUUUUCUCUGGGAAGAAAGUUGUGAAAGCAACCUGACGGUACCAGAGGAAUCAGCAUCGGCUAACUCCGUGCCAGCAGCCGCGGUAAGACGGAGGAUGCAAGCGUUAUCCGGAAUGAUUGGGCGUAAAGCGUCCGCAGGUGGCAGUUCAAGUCUGCUGUCAAAGACUGGGGCUUAACUUCGGAAAGGCAGUGGAAACUGAACAGCUAGAGUAUGGUAGGGGCAGAGGGAAUUCCUGGUGUAGCGGUGAAAUGCGUAGAGAUCAGGAAGAACAUCGGUGGCGAAGGCGCUCUGCUGGACCAUAACUGACACUCAGGGACGAAAGCUAGGGGAGCGAAUGGGAUUAGAUACCCUGGUAGUCCACGCCGUAAACGAUGAUUACUCGAUGUUGGCGAUAUUACAGUCAGCGUCCAAGCGAAAGCGUUAAGUCAUCCACCUGGGGAGUACGCCCGCAAGGGUGAAACUCAAAGGAAUUGACGGAAUCGGAUCCCG
rnacentral:rRNA from 1 species